UGAACCUACAGUAGGAUCAUUG
rnacentral:rRNA from 1 species